rnacentral:rRNA from 1 species
AACGCUGGCGGCGUGCUUAACACAUGCAAGUUGGACGACGGUCUUAUGAAGUGGAGACAUGGAAUGAGAUACGGAGUAGCGGACGGGUGAGUAGAGCGCGAGGAGCUGUCCCAUAAAGGGGGAUAACGUUUGGAAACGGACGCUAAUACCCCAUAGGCCGGGAGGUUAAAGCGCUGAGAGGCGUGAUAUGGGAGGUGCUCGUGUCCUAUCAGCUAGUUGGUGAGGUAACGGCUCACCANGGACGGGUAGCCGGCCUGAGAGGGCGACCGGCCACACUGGAACUGAGAUACGGUCCAGACUCCUACGGGAGGCAGCAGUGGGGAAUAUUGGGCAAUGGGAGGAAUCCUGACCCAGCAACGCCGCGUGAACGAAGAAGGCCUUUGGGUCGUAAAGUUCUUUUACGCGGGAAGAAGCGAGUGACGGUACCGCGUGAAUAAGCCCCGGCUAACUACGUGCCAGCAGCCGCGGUAAUACGUAGGGGGCGAGCGUUGUCCGGAAUUACUGGGCGUAAAGGGCACGCAGGCUGUGCCGUAAGUCAGCUGUAAAAGGAUACGGCUUAACUGUAUUUAGCAGUUGAAACUGCGGGACUGGAGUACCGAAGAGGCAAGUGGAAUUCCCAGUGUAGCGGUGAAAUGCGUAGAUAUUGGGAAGAACACCGGUGGCGAAGGCGACUUGCUGGUCGGUAACUGACGCUGAGGUGCGAAAGCCAGGGGAGCAAACGGGAUUAGAUACCCCGGUAGUCCUGGCGGUAAACGAUGAAUGCUGGGUGUGCGAGUAGAGAUACUGGCGUGCCGUAGUUAACGCGAUAAGCAUUCCGCCUGGGGAGUACGGUCGCAAGAUUGAAACUCAAAGGAAUUGACGGGGGCCCGC